GCUUUAUAUUGUUGUGGAUUUUAUUUAUUUAGAAGUAAUUAAAUGGGAUUAAGAAUAGUAUUUUGUUGGGGUGACAGGAAGAUAAGAAAAACUCUUUUUAUAAUUUAAAUCAUUGAUGUAUGAAUUAUUGAUCCGUUAUUAAUGAUUAUAAGACUAAGU
rnacentral:rRNA from 1 species